GACUCCUUAUGUCAGUGGUAGACAGUCAGAUUCCAGAUCUCAAUGGAGUAAUCCAGAGAGUCACAUCCUGAAAGUCGUCCGUUCGAUCCGGGCAGGGGUCA